UACGAAGGGGGCUAGCGUUGCUCGGAAUUACUGGGCGUAAAGCGCACGUAGGCGGCUUUCUAAGUCGGGGGGUGAAAUCCUGGAGCUCAACUCCAGAACUGCCUUCGAUACUGGAGCUUGAGUCCGGGAGAUGGUGAGUGGAACUGCGAGUGUAGAGGUGAAAUUCGUAGAUAUUCGCAAGAACACCAGUGGCGAAGGCGGCUCACUGGCCCGGUACUGACGCUGAGGUGCGAAAGCGUGGGGGAGCAAACAGGG
rnacentral:rRNA from 1 species